AACGUAGGACACAAGCGUUAUCCGGAAUUAUUGGGCGUAAAGAGCUCGUAGGCGGUUUGUCGCGUCUGCUGUGAAAACUCGGGGCCCAACUCCGAGCUUGCAGUGGGUACGGGCAGACUAGAGUGCGGUAGGGGAGACUGGAAUUCCUGGUGUAGCGGUGGAAUGCGUAGAUAUCGAGAGGAACACCAGUGGCGAAGGCGAGUCCCUGGACAACACCUGACACUGAGGCACGAAAGCUAGGGGAGCAAACAGG
rnacentral:rRNA from 1 species